GANGUAUGCNCUAGCUACUUGCAUCAUUGCUACAGAUGAUGCAAGAUCGACUAUGUUGAAUAAAAUUCUAGGUAGAAUUAUGAUAAUGACAUUGUCUGCCUAUGUGUCUUGACCAAAUUACGUGCCAGCAGUCGCGGUAAUACGUAGAAGACUAGUGUUAUUCAUGUUUAAUCGGUUUAAAGGGUACCUAGACGGUAGAUCAAGCUUUUACAUAUAAAUUAUGAUAAUUAAAGGACUAAUUUACUAGAGUUACUUACGAGGGGGCAUUAAAGUACUGCUGGUGUAGAGAUGAAAUUCUGUCAUACCUCUUUUCGAAAGAAAAAUCAUGGCACAGGUAUAGGCGAAGGCAUCCCCUUAUGUGAUAACUGACGUUGAGGGACGAAGGCUUUGUGUAACAAACAGGAUUAGAUACCCUAGUAGUUGAAGCAGAAAAUGAUGAAUGUCAUAGAUUAGAUAUAUAAGUUUAUUCUAUAAAUGAAAGUGUAAGCAUUCCACCUCAUGAGUAAUUUGGCAACAUUGGAACUGAAAUCAUUAGACCGUUUCUGAAACCAGUAGUGAAGUAUGUUGUUUAAUUUGAUGAUCCGCAAAAAACCUUACCA
rnacentral:rRNA from 1 species